rnacentral:rRNA from 1 species
UACGGAGGGGACUAGCGUUGUUCGGAAUUACUGGGCGUAAAGCGCACGUAGGCGGGUUUGUAAGUCAGGGGUGAAAUCCCGGGGCUCAACCUCGGAACUGCCUUCGAUACUGCGGGUCUCGAGUCCGGGAGAGGUGAGUGGAAUUCCUAGUGUAGAGGUGAAAUUCGUAGAUAUUAGGAAGAACACCAGUGGCGAAGGCGGCAUCCUGGACCAACACUGACGCUGAGGAGCGAAAGCCAGGGGAGCAAACGGG